AAAUCCUUCAGGGCAGUCUGCUACCUUAUUGCCUAAGCAGCAACAUGAAUAAAGGACAGUUGGUGCAUCCUUAUCAGAAAUUUGUUGUAGCACUCCAGCUGCCAGGAGUGCGACAAGGCCAGCGGUAAAAGCCAGCAGCAUCAGCCGCCGCUGGCGGCAACCAAUACUUGCUGGGAGAUUAAGACAAUGGCGUUACAAUAGAUCGUAACCAGUCGACGGGACACCAAGGUCCAGGUGAACCCGAGCCGCAAGCAGAAGAAGAAGAAGAGGAAGGCGACAUACAUUGACUGUUGUCUGUUGUUAAAAU